UUGUUUGCCAAACAGACCUAGUUAUUACAAUUUUAAAUAUUUUUUUCACUUUUGUCUUAAUUUGCCCAAGUAUUGUAGAUGGAAAAUUGUUCAAAACCCAAAGUGAAGGAUUUUAUUGUUUGCAAUUGUUUCUCCGUCUUUUUUCAGUGAUCGUUUAUUUUGAUUUAAACAGGAAGUUCGAUAGUCACUUUUUAACGAAAAUUAUUAUGGGAUAUUUUGUGUUUAUUCCUGCAAUACUUGGGUAUUUUUUAUUCAUGCUUUACUAUGUGUGCUUUUUAAUUCCGUUACCUUAGAAGCUAUGUUGCUGUUUUUUAUUGUCUCAUUGUCAACUGGAUACAGGCAAUCCAUUCAAUUGUCAGUUAUGUAGUUUGGUUGUAUAACAGUAUUUGUACUUUUACAUGUGAAAAAUUAAUAAAAAGCUUCUUAUGAU
rnacentral:sRNA from 1 species